CAGCAGCCACGGUAAUACAGAGGUCUCAAGCGUUGUUCGGAUUCAUUGGGCGUAAAGGGUGCGUAGGUGGUCAUGUAAGUCUAAUGUGAAAUCUCGGGGCUCAACCUCGAAAUUGCAUCGGAUACUGCGUGACUAGAGGAUCGUAGAGGAGAUUGGAAUUCACGGUGUAGCAGUGAAAUGCGUAGAUAUCGUGAGGAAGACCAGUUGCGAAGGCGAAUCUCUGGGCAAUUCCUGACACUGAGGCACGAAGGCCAGGGGAGCAAACGGGAUUAGAUACCCGAGUAGUCCCUGUCUCUUAUCA
rnacentral:rRNA from 1 species